rnacentral:rRNA from 1 species
CCUACGGGGGGCAGCAGUGGGGAAUAUUGGACAAUGGUGGGAACCCUGAUCCAGCCAUGCCGCGUGUGUGAAGAAGGCCCUCGGGUUGUAAAGCACUUUCAGUGAGGAAGAACGCCUGGUGGUUAAUACCCAUCAGGAAAGACAUCACUCACAGAAGAAGCACCGGCUAACUCCGUGCCAGCAGCCGCGGUAAUACGGAGGGUGCGAGCGUUAAUCGGAAUUACUGGGCGUAAAGCGCGCGUAGGUGGCUUGAUAAGCCGGUUGUGAAAGCCCCGGGCUCAACCUGGGAACGGCAUCCGGAACUGUCAAGCUAGAGUGCAGGAGAGGAAGGUAGAAUUCCCGGUGUAGCGGUGAAAUGCGUAGAGAUCGGGAGGAAUACCAGUGGCGAAGGCGGCCUUCUGGACUGACACUGACACUGAGGUGCGAAAGCGUGGGUAGCAAACAGGAUUAGAUACCCUGGUAGUC